CACUGCCGAGAAAAGCCUCUAGAUAGAAAAUAGGUGCCCGUACCGCAAACCGACACAGGUAGUCAAGAUGAGAAUUCUAAGGUGAGCGAGCGAACUCUCGUUAAGGAACUCGGCAAAAUGACCCCGUAACUUCGGGAGAAGGGGUGCUCUUUAGGGUUAACGCCCAGAAGAGCCGCAGUGAAUAGGCCCAAGCGACUGUUUAUCAAAAACACAGGUCUCUGCUAAACCGUAAGGUGAUGUAUAGGGGCUGACGCCUGCCCGGUGCUGGAAGGUUAAGAGGAGUGGUUAGCUUCUGCGAAGCUACGAAUCGAAGCCCCAGUAAACGGCGGCCGUAACUAUAACGGUCCUAAGGUAGCGAAAUUCCUUGUCGGGUAAGUUCCGACCCGCACGAAAGGCGUAACGAUUUGGGCACUGUCUCAACGAGAGACUCGGUGAAAUCAUAGUACCUGUGAAGAUGCAGGUUACCCGCGACAGGACGGAAAGACCCCGUGGAGCUUUACUGUAGCCUGAUAUUGAAAUUCGGCACAGCUUGUACAGGAUAGGUAGGAGCCUUUGAAACGUGAGCGCUAGCUUACGUGGAGGCGCUGGUGGGAUACUACCCUAGCUGUGUUGGCUUUCUAACCCGCACCACUUAUCGUGGUGGGAGACAGUGUCAAGCGGGCAGUUUGACUGGGGCGGUCGCCUCCUAAAAGGUAACGGAGGCGCUCAAAGGUUCCCUCAGAAUGGUUGGAAAUCAUUCAUAGAGUGUAAAGGCAUAAGGGAGCUUGACUGCGAGACCUACAAGUCGAGCAGGGUCGAAAGACGGACUUAGUGAUCCGGUGGUUCCGCAUGGAAGGGCCAUCGCUCAACGGAUAAAAGCUACCCCGGGGAUAACAGGCUUAUCUCCCCCAAGAGUUCACAUCGACGGGGAGGUUUGGCACCUCGAUGUCGGCUCAUCGCAUCCUGGGGCUGUAGUCGGUCCCAAGGGUUGGGCUGUUCGCCCAUUAAAGCGGUACGCGAGCUGGGUUCAGAACGUCGUGAGACAGUUCGGUCCCUAUCCGUCGUGGGCGUAGGAAAUUUGAGAGGAGCUGUCCUUAGUACGAGAGGACCGGGAUGGACAUACCUCUGGUGUACCAGUUGUCGUGCCAACGGCAUAGCUGGGUAGCUAUGUGUGGACGGGAUAAGUGCUGAAAGCAUCUAAGCAUGAAGCCCCCCUCAAGAUGAGAUUUCCCAACUUCGGUUAUAAGAUCCCUCAAAGAUGAUGAGGUUAAUAGGUUCGAGGUGGAAGCAUGGUGACAUGUGGAGCUGACGAAUACUAAUCGAUCGAAGACUUAAUCAA
rnacentral:rRNA from 1 species